GACGAACGCUGGCGGCGCGCCUAACACAUGCAAGUCGAGCGAAGCGGCGAACGGGUGAGUAACGCGUGAGGAACCUGCCUCUUACAACGGGAUAGCCUCGGGAAACCGGGAUUAAUACCGUAUAGUAAGAGAUGGCCUCGCGUCUGAUUAGCUUGUUGGCGGGGUAACGGCCCACCAAGGCGACGAUCAGUAACCGGCCUGAGAGGGUGAACGGUCACGUUGGAACUGGGAAACGGUACAGAAUCCUACGGGAGGCAGCAGUGGGGAAUCGUGCACAAGGGCGGCAACCAUGAUGCAGUGACGCCGCGUGAGCUAUGAAGGGUUUCGAAUCGUAAAGCUCUGUCCUAUGGGAAGCGGUACCAUGGGAGGAAGCCCCGGCUAACUACGUGCCAGCAGCCGCGGUAAUAC
rnacentral:rRNA from 1 species